GGGAUUGGGAAUACAGACUUUUGGCACCGGUUCCUAUUAAACCGGUGGGGAUUUAUACUUUUCGCAACGGUUCAAACCGAUGCCAAUUAUAAAAGAGGAAAAAAAAGGGAUAAAGGGAUUUGGCACCGGUUCAGUUCGAACUGGUGCGAAAUUUAUUGUAAAAUAAAAAAAAACCCGGAUAUACUCUUUCUUUCUCUGGCUUUCAUUUCCUCGAUCUUUCCUCCUCUCUCAUUUGAUGUGCCUCUCUCUCUCCUCCAUUGAAGCGUACUCAAAUUUCUCCAUUGAAGGGGCUUCAGAGCUUUCUCUCAGCACUUUCCUCAAACUCCUCUCUCCUUUGAUCUCUAUAACCGCCACUUUCCCUUUCCUUUCAUCUCUCAUUCGAUCUCCUUCUCCUUCUCUCUUUCUACAAUAUUGGAGGUUAGGGUUUCUGGGUGCGUCUAUUUUGAAUCGAUUCGAUGUGCGUGCGUCUUUAACAACAACAAAUUCGAAUCAAUUUCGAACCAAAAACCAGAAUUUCGAGGUUAGGGUUUUUGGGUUAUUUAGCUUUGCGUUAUAUUGCAGCUGUUCUAAGCUUUCUCCUCCAUUGAAACAACUUCUGAGAGUUUGAUACGAAUUGCUGGAUUCUCUCUUCUGCUCGAUUAUCGGUUGAGUAAUCACCCAAAUCGAAAGUUUCAGACACUGUAACUCCUGCUGAUGUUGGUCUGGAAGAGGAGAAUGUAGAUGAUGACCGAGGAUAUGGUCAUUCUUUGCUGAACCCAUUCAACCGAGCACCUAGAUGGGCCCAACCUAUAACAUAUUUGGAUAUCCA